GGCGGCGUGCCUAACACAUGCAAGUCGAGCGGGAAAGUGGGGGCAACUCCACGAGUACAGCGGCGCACGGGUGAGUAACACGUAGGUAACCUACCUACGAGCCUGGGAUAACCUGCCGAAAGGCGGGCUAAUACCGGAUAAGACCACGGGAAUCGCGGUUCCUGCGGUAAAAGGUGGCCUCUCCUUGGAAGCUACCACUCGAAGAUGGGCCUGCGCGCCAUUAGCUAGUUGGCGGGGUAAUGGCCCACCAAGGCAAAGAUGGCUAGCUGGUCUGAGAGGAUGGCCAGCCACACUGGGACUGAGACACGGCCCAGACUCCUACGGGAGGCAGCAGUGGGGAAUAUUGCGCAAUGGGCGAAAGCCUGACGCAGCGACGCCGCGUGGGUGAUGAAGGCCUUCGGGUCGUAAAGCCCUGUCGGGANGGACGAAACCUCGGUGACCUAAUACGUCAUCGACCUGACGGUACCUCCUAAGGAAGCACCGGCUAACUCCGUGCCAGCAGCCGCGGUAAUACGGA
rnacentral:rRNA from 1 species